rnacentral:rRNA from 1 species
CGUAGGGGCAAGCGUUAUCCGGAAUCAUUGGGCGUAAAGCGCGUGUAGGCGGUUCACCAAGUCCGCUCUGAAAGCCCAGGGCUCAACCCUGGGAGGCGGGUGGAUACUGGUGGACUAGAGUCCGGAAGAGGAGAUUGGAAUUCCUGGUGUAGCGGUGAAAUGCGCAGAUAUCAGGAGGAACACCAACAGCGAAGGCAGAUCUCUGGGACGUGACUGACGCUGAGACGCGAAAGCGUGGGAGCAAACAGGAUU